AGAAUGGUACCGUCGACUUCGGAUCGAGUCAGAUUGUAUUGUCGUAAAGACUGGGCCUAUAUUAUUCAGGUAUUCGAUUAAGCACGUGAGCAUGCAGGUUCUAUCAGCGAGAAGGAUCAAGCAAUCAGAACGUCGAGUCUUCAUAAACUAGCGACUAGAUGAUGGUAAAACAUUCAGUACUAUGAGAAUCAAGUUUUGGUCGGGGGAGUAUGUGCAAGACUGAACUUAAGAAUUGACGGAGGCACCACCAGGGUGGAGCUUCGCUUAGUUGGACUCGAGCACGGGGAAACUUACCAGUCCAGACAAAGUAAGAUGACAAAAUGAUAGCAAAUAUCUUGAUCUAUGGUGCGGUGCAUGGCCGUUCUAGUGGUGGGGUGUGGGUCUGGUAAUUCCGAUAACGAACGAGACCUUAACUGCUAACUAGAUUCGAUCAACUUUUGGUCGUAUCUCUUAGAGGGACUAUGUAACAUAAAUACAUGGAAGUUUGAGGCAAUAACAGGUCAGUAAUGCACAAUAUAUGUCCUGGGCUGCACGCGUGCUACACUGAUGUAUACAACAAGUGCCUAGCCAGACAUGGCAUGGCAAUCUCGAAUAUGCAUCGUGAUGGGGAUAGAUCUUUGCAAUUAUAGAUCUUGAACGAGGAAUUCCUAGUAAGUGCAAGUCAUCAUCUUGCAUUGAUUAUGUCCCUGCCCUUUGUACACACCGCCCGUCGCUCCUACCGAUACCGGAGAAGAUCCGGUGAACCUUGGACCUGCAAGGGGAAGAUAAGUAAACCAUAUCACCUAGAGGAAGGAGAAGUCGUAACAAGUUCC
rnacentral:rRNA from 1 species